rnacentral:misc_RNA from 1 species
GUGAAUCAUCGAAUUUUUGAACGCACAUUGCACUUUCUGGUAUUCCGAAAAGUAUACCUGUUUGAGGGUCAGUUAAAUCAAAAUCGGUGUUGUUGCUGCCCUUCGUGUUGGCGCGUCGGCAUUGGAUCGUCUUACCUUCGGUUAAGUGACUUAAAAUUUUUGCAUGGUUUUCGAACGUAUUUAAAUCGCUUACGUCCGUUUAAGAUAUCGAAUGUUUAUUAGGUUCGGUCAUUCACAUGAUUCGC